AACAAGGUCUCCGUUGGUGAACCAGCGGAGGGAUCAUUAUCGAGUUAUUCAACUCCCAAACCCUAUGUGAACUUACCACUUGUUGCUUCGGCGCGCGCUUCGGCGCCGCCGAGGACACUUAAACUCUUUGUUUUUAUAAGCAUUUCUGAGUGGCCGAAAGGCAAAAAUACAAAUGAAUCAAAACUUUCAACAACGGAUCUCUUGGUUCUGGCAUCGAUGAAGAACGCAGCGAAAUGCGAUAAGUAAUGUGAAUUGCAGAAUUCAGUGAAUCAUCGAAUCUUUGAACGCACAUUGCGCCCGCCAGCAUUCUGGCGGGCAUGCCUGUUCGAGCGUCAUUUCAACCCUCGAGCCCGACUCUUUUGAGGACGGCUCGGCGUUGGGGGACGGCAGACUCCCCCCGGCAUCUCGCCGGGGACGCCGCCCCCGAAAUCUAGUGGCGGCCCUCCGAGGCGACCUCUGCGUAGUAACUUGUUCUCGCACCGGAAAGCUCAGAGCGGCCACGCCGUAAGACCCCAACUUUUUUCAGGUUGACCUCGAAUCAGGUAGGACUACCCGCUGAACUUAAGCAUAUCAAUA
rnacentral:rRNA from 1 species